AAGUCGUAACAAGGUUUCCGUAGGUGAACCUGCGGAAGGAUCAUUAGAGAUGUGCGCAAGCACUUUUUAACUCAUACACCUGUGCACCGUGGUCUUCGGCACUAUAACAAUCAUUGUAGUCAUGACGUCUUAAUAGUAAACAA
rnacentral:misc_RNA from 1 species